AACGCACAUUGCGCCCCUUGGUAUUCCGGGGGGCAUGCCUGUUCGAGCGUCAUUACACCAAUCAAGCACAGCUUGGCAUUAGGUCUCUUCGUCCGCGGUCAAACGCGGGCGGGCCUCAAAACCUUCGGCGGAGUCCAUCCGGCUUCGGGCGUAGCAGAAUUUCUACAAACGUCCGUGUGGCCGGGGGGUCUUUUGCCGUCAAAAGCACAAAUUUUAUCAAGGUUGACCUCGGAUCAGGUAGGAAUACCCGCUGAACUUAA
rnacentral:misc_RNA from 1 species